CACAAUUUAUCAACUGAUUAUGAGGCAGUUCUUAUGCAUGGAAUGGGAUAAGCUCUUUUUCAAUCAUCUGUUGGGGAAAGAGGCUCAACAUCAAGGAAAUUGACACAUGUUUAAUUACUGAUAUUGACUAGCUUAUAAACACAAUGUGAACAGAGGCCGUUUCAACCACACAAUUAUUUUGUUGCAAAUGGUUAUCUAGUUUCAUCUGGAAGAGGCUGGAGUGUUUUCUGAUAACAAACUACCCCCAAACCUUGGCAGUUUACAACAACCAAGGUUUAUUUUUCAAAUAUACUACCUUCCCAGUGAGUGUUAGGAGAGGGUUCUGCUCCACGUCUUUCUCUCCAUGGGACUCACAGUGAUGGAGGAGUCUCUCUUUAACGUUGAUGUUCAUUAUGGCAAAGGCAAAGGUGAACCUCAAGCUAUGACUUAAGCUUCUACCUAAAUUUCACACAAAUUGCUUCCACUCUCAUGUCCAUUUCAGCGGAAGAGGAAGUCAAUCCAAACCUGAUUUCAGUAUCUUAGGGAAAUAUAAUCCCACAUACAGAGGGGAAGCAGAUAUGAUUGAAUGGUAAUAAAAUCCAUUAUUCCAUAAAUCCCCCAAUAGCACUGAUUUAUUUGAGUGAAUUCUUUUUUUUUUAAUGGAAUCAGCUAAACUAGUUCUAAAGCAGGGGUCUUAUUGUUUAAAUAUGUUGUCUGACCUUGUGAGCAAAUUUCAACCAGAGGCUUAAAUAGAUGACCCAUUUUAGGACUAUCACCACCCAUAGCACUACAGGUUUUCCUGCUUAAGGGUUUCACACUUAAGUGUGAAAUAGGUACAUCUUUUACCAAAAGGGCCAAAGGAUCCCUCCUGCUCUGUUAGAUGCUGGCUUCCUCUACCAAGUUACUAAAACUAGUUGCAAGGUAUUGAGGUGUCACUCUUCAGCACAUUCACAGCGUCUGUGCUUAUGACAGCUCCCUGGUAAUUCCUCAUGAUUGCAUCACUCCCUGAUGGAAAUCCAGCUUUUAUUUCAGCAACAGUAAUGGGUUGUCCUGGACCCCUGACCUCACCUGAAGAUGUCUUUAUGUUGGAUUUGCCCUAUAUAUGGGGCAAUUGGUUCAAGACUUAGAGAAAUUUCUACAGACUCUCAUACCAGAACAAUGGGACGCAAAUGGGGGAAUUGGCCAGAAGAAAGAAUGGCUUUGGGUUUGGUGAAGUGGACCAAAAUGUGAAGGCAAUAUCAUAAA